rnacentral:rRNA from 1 species
UACGUAGGGUCCAAGCGUUAUCCGGAAUCACUGGGCGUAAAGCGUGCGUAGGCGGUGUGUUAAGUGAGAUGUGAAAGCGUGGGGCUCAACCCUGUCGUUGUAUCUCAUACUGGCACACUAGAGGACAGCAGAGGCAAGUGGAAUUAGCAGUGUAGCAGUGAAAUGCGUAGAUAUUGCUAGGAACACCUAUGGCGAAGGCAGCUUGCUGGGCUACUCCUGACACUGAGGUACGAAAGCGUGGGGAGCGAACAGG